CCCAGACUCCUACGGGAGGCAGCAGUGGGGGAUAUUGCACAAUGGGGGGAACCCUGAUGCAGCGACGCCGCGUGGGUGAAGGAGCGUUUCGGCGCGUAAAGCCCUAUCGACAGGGAAGAAGGAGGACGGUACCUGACUAAGAAGCCCCGGCUAACUACGUGCCAGCAGCCGCGGUAAUACGUAGGGGGCAAGCGUUAUCCGGAGUUACUGGGUGUAAAGGGGGCGCAGACGGCAGCGCAAGCCAGGAGUGAAAGCCCGGGGCCCAACCCCGGGACUGCUCUUGGAACUGCGCGGCUGGAGUGCAGGAGGGGCAGGCGGAAUUCCUGGUGUAGCGGUGAAAUGCGUAGAUAUCAGGAGGAACACCGGUGGCGAAGGCGGCCUGCUGGACUGCGACUGACGUUGAGGCCCGAAAGCGUGGGGAGCAAACAGGAUUAGAUACCCGCGUAC
rnacentral:rRNA from 1 species